rnacentral:rRNA from 1 species
AGAGUUUGAUCCUGGCUCAGGACGAACGCUGGCGGCGUGCCUAAUACAUGCAAGUCGAGCGGACAGAAGGGAGCUUGCUCCCGGAUGUUAGCGGCGGACGGGUGAGUAACACGUGGGUAACCUGCCUGUAAGACUGGGAUAACUCCGGGAAACCGGAGCUAAUACCGGAUAGUUCCUUGAACCGCAUGGUUCAAGGAUGAAAGACGGUUUCGGCUGUCACUUACAGAUGGACCCGCGGCGCAUUAGCUAGUUGGUGAGGUAACGGCUCACCAAGGCGACGAUGCGUAGCCGACCUGAGAGGGUGAUCGGCCACACUGGGACUGAGACACGGCCCAGACUCCUACGGGAGGCAGCAGUAGGGAAUCCUUCCGCAAUGGACGAAAGUCUGACGGAGCAACGCCGCGUGAGUGAUGAAGGUUUUCGGAUCGUAAAGCUCUGUUGUUAGGGAAGAACAAGUGCAAGAGUAACUGCUUGCACCUUGACGGUACCUAACCAGAAAGCCACGGCUAACUACGUGCCAGCAGCCGCGGUAAUACGUAGGUGGCAAGCGUUGUCCGGAAUUAUUGGGCGUAAAGGGCUCGCAGGCGGUUUCUUAAGUCUGAUGUGAAAGCCCCCGGCUCAACCGGGGAGGGUCAUUGGAAACUGGGAAACUUGAGUGCAGAAGAGGAGAGUGGAAUUCCACGUGUAGCGGUGAAAUGCGUAGAGAUGUGGAGGAACACCAGUGGCGAAGGCGACUCUCUGGUCUGUAACUGACGCUGAGGAGCGAAAGCGUGGGGAGCGAACAGGAUUAGAUACCCUGGUAGUCCACGCCGUAAACGAUGAGUGCUAAGUGUUAGGGGGUUUCCGCCCCUUAGUGCUGCAGCUAACGCAUUAAGCACUCCGCCUGGGGAGUACGGUCGCAAGACUGAAACUCAAAGGAAUUGACGGGGGCCCGCACAAGCGGUGGAGCAUGUGGUUUAAUUUGAAGCAACGCGAAGAACCUUACCAGGUCUUGACAUCCUCUGACAACCCUAGAGAUAGGGCUUUCCCUUCGGGGACAGAGUGACAGGUGGUGCAUGGUUGUCGUCAGCUCGUGUCGUGAGAUGUUGGGUUAAGUCCCGCAACGAGCGCAACCCUUGAUCUUAGUUGCCAGCAUUCAGUUGGGCACUCUAAGGUGACUGCCGGUGACAAACCGGAGGAAGGUGGGGAUGACGUCAAAUCAUCAUGCCCCUUAUGACCUGGGCUACACACGUGCUACAAUGGACAGAACAAAGGGCUGCGAGACCGCAAGGUUUAGCCAAUCCCACAAAUCUGUUCUCAGUUCGGAUCGCAGUCUGCAACUCGACUGCGUGAAGCUGGAAUCGCUAGUAAUCGCGGAUCAGCAUGCCGCGGUGAAUACGUUCCCGGGCCUUGUACACACCGCCCGUCACACCACGAGAGUUUGCAACACCCGAAGUCGGUGAGGUAACCUUUAUGGAGC